AUUGAACGCUGGCGGCAGGCCUAACACCUGCAAGUCGAGCGGAGCGUCGGACGGGUGCGUAAUGCCUAGGAAUCUGCCUGGUAGUGGGGGAUAACGUCCGGAAACGGGCGCUAAUACCGCAUACUAUCAGAUGAGCCUAGGUCGGAGUAACUAGUUGGGGGGGUAAAGGCCUACCAGGGCUACGAUCCGUAACUGGUCUGAGAGGAUGAUCAGUCACACUGGAACUGAGACACGGUCCAGAGGCCUCCGGAAGGCAGAAGGGGGGAAUAUUGCACAAUGGGCGCAAGCCUGAUGCAGCCAUGCCGCGUGGAUGAAGAAGGCCUUCGGGUUUAAAAGUACUUUAAGCGGGGAGGCGUUACCGGCAGAAGAAGCACCGGCUAACUCCGUGCCAGCAGCCGCGGUAAUUC
rnacentral:rRNA from 1 species